rnacentral:misc_RNA from 1 species
AAGUAAUCCAACUCAAGCAUAAGCUGGCAAAAGCCAUUCGCAUCUAAUGCUCUAAGAUCUCUGUCUUGAUUUUCAUGGAAAAGACUCAGGAAAGUAUCUAUUAGUCCUUCAACAAGUAUACCAAGCGUCUUUUCCAGUAGAGGCUUACAACCAGCGAAGACCUCUGCAUGUACAGCUACUAGAGUGUGUAGCAAUUCCACAGCAGCAUCUCGCACACCCGUAACUGCUGGUGCAGCACCCCAUUGUACUCCACCAUCCAAGAAAUAGUUUAUAGCUGCUGUUCUAAUUAAAUUUGUCUUUGCAAAAGUGUACUGUUCAAGGACCUUCUCUUCAAGCCUCGCGAAAGAUAUAACCAACUCUCGGAUAUCACUGUCCUCUUCAUCCUUACUCCUAUUCUGCAUCCAAAUUUCUUUGUAUUUGCAGUACAAUUCACGAGCAAGCUCAUCUUUACAAUAUCCAAUAUUACUUAAAACCAUCAGCAGCUGUAGCUGCGGAUCAACAAUACUUCCUGGCAGUGGUUCAGAUGUUUUUUCUUCUACUUCAAGAUAUCCAUUCUGAAAAUAUGGACUUUCUCUGUUGGAUUUAUUCAGGUUACGCUGACCUCCAAUUUGCUCCAGGUGACCAGCAAAAUUCAGCAAACAAUUCAACAAGGCUAGUCUAACAGAUUCCUGGAUUCCUUGAAGCUGCACGUAUAUUUCUUCCGACUUCAUGGCCUCAUUCUGCAAAGACUCUAUCAUUACAUUGAUCUGAUCCAUUGCAGAUGUGAUAAUUGAACGGAAAGCCAAAGGCAAUGAAGAAAUGGUAUAUGGAGAUCUAUUCCUUUGUAAAAUAGAUACUGCAACCCAGGAUUCAUCUUUUGAUAUCUCUUCAACUGUAGACCGCAUCCAUGAACAGAGCCUCAAUAUGUAAACUUUUGAGACCUCACACUGAAGUGUUCGCAAUGCUGCAACAGCAGUUGAAGGAGCUGAUUCUUUCGCUUCAAAAGCUUGACAUGCUUUGGUUAUCUCCUUUAUGGCAGCACUCAUGUAUGGGCCAAGAAUAUUUGAUUCUUCAAGAUCCCCAAAUGCAUUCUGGACCUUGGAUUCAUAAGCUGAUAUAGUACUGCGCACCAUCCCAGCAACUUCAUCAAGAGAAUGAUUUGAGUACUUCCUAUCUCCUGCUUUUUCUUCACGUUUAUUCGCAGAGGCACUCACAUUUGAAUCAGAGGACACCUGAGAAGACUUUGCGAAUUUUUCACUGAGAACUGCAACAGCUACUCUCCAAAAGACAGGUACAUGAUAGAUAAUUACAGCAGUCAACCUCCUUAUAUAACUUCCUCUGAGAGCAUCAACCUUUUCACCAGUGAAUUCCACUUGUUGUGAGUCACCCAUCAGAUAUGUAUUUUCAAUUGAAUCAGAGUAAGCAGCAUCUGGAGUAUUGUUCAAAUCUUGCUGAAUAUGCCUCCAUUUUGCAUCAGAUAAAGCUCUUUCACGCAUCUCAGUCCGAAAAUUUUCCGUUCUUGCUUCAUGAUCCAAAGUGCAUUUUUCAAGCAAGCCUCGGAUUCUGUGGUUCUGUAUAUUCAAAUAGUGCCAUACAGGAUCUGAUUCAGGCUCCAACUCCAACAAGAGUCUCACAUUAUUUUCAAGAUUUGUUAGGUCAAUCUGAGGAUCUUCCAGAGACUUGUAAAGCUUGCCUUUAAACUCUUGCAUAACUCUUUCAACCUCCUCAAGUACACGCUUCAAAAUUCCAACAUGAGAAGGAAGAACGAUUGACUUUGCUUUCCUGUACUCCCUGACAGCCAGGUCAUAUUCACCAGUACUAAUGCUAUGACGAAUCGUGCUGGGCAAGUUAAAUAGUGUUCGGAACCUUUGCAGCAUUCCUUGAACAGAUCUUAUUUUCUCAGCUUGAGCUUGUCUUUCGAAUAGUGGCCCAAAAGCACGAUUAGCAAUUGAACUGACUCCUUCGAUACAAUUAAAUAAGUGAGAAGUUCCAGAACCUUCAGGGUCUUCCUCAAUCCGCCUUAAUUUUGAUUCAAUAUCAUCAAUU